GAGCACCAUGGAAGCAAAGGUGACACUCACUUUUUGCAGAAAAUCUGUAAAGGAAAUAGUAAUAGCAGGCAACCUGGAAACCGGGCCAGACAUUGUUCAGAAAGCUCCCUUCUGAUAAGGAUAAAAACCCAGCUGUCAGCUGUCUCAAUCUGCAGAUAAAGAACUCUAGGAGCUGAUGUUGGGGAGAGGUUAGGAUUUCACAGGGAGAAGGAAAAGAGAUCACAAUCGCAUAGAAAAGUAGCUUUAACUGCUCUACCUUGACCCUCACUAACUCAGGGACACACUGCCUGCAGGCAGGAGUCUGCAGGGAGCAGGGAGGAAACGGCUGGAAGUUCUUUCCUGCAAGUACAAGUCCCAGAAGUAAUAAUAUGUGAUGUUGGUCCUCAGUCUUGUAACCCAGCUGCGAAGACCAGGAAAUCUUGCACUUUUUGAGAACUUGUAGAUCACUUUCAACUGCAAAGAGAUCAUAAAAAACAGAGGAAAACUAUUUCCUGUGCUCAUUUUCAUGCUGAGUAUAAGAAUCACCCCUGGAAAUUUCAAGGAGCAAUGCAUGGUAAACUGCAACCACAUGAAGAAUGUUUUUUCAAGGCCAUAUAGCCUAACCAGCUGUGGAAGCAAAAAAGCAUGUGAGACAUGAGGAUAAGCCUGCUGCCAAUAGCAACUCUCAGGUCCAAGCCCUAGGAAACUUCAACCAACAGAUUUGAAACUAGUCUGACAAUCAAGUCUCCCUAGAUACUGCUCCCUGAGCCCAGGACACAGACGCGUCAGCCUGAAUCAUGCUGCCUCCAGCCCUCUGAGCGUUUCCUGGUGCAGAGGGAGCAAACAGCUACAGUCUGACAGUUUCAAUGGGAGGUGUCAGCCUGUUUCCAGAGCUUUCAAAAGACAUUCCAUCAUUUCAUGAAUCAUAUCAUUGUGUGGAACCUCUGAGAUAAUGAGACUAUGAACAUCAUUUCAUGAUGCCAUUUGGCUCAAAGACAGGGAAACAUAUGGGCAUUCUCCUCAACACAGAUUUUGCAGGGGAAAUAGGGAAAAUCCUGCUAUCUGUAAAAGACUUUUAUUAGCCUCACUUGCAAGAGGUUGGAAGCUACUAACAGUGGACGAGACGGAACUGGUCAGCCACAGAUUGCACAUCUCAACACAGCUUUGUUCUGCUUUAAAGAUUGCACAUCUCAACACAGCUUUGUUCUGCUUUAAAAUCCUGCAUAGAAGUGUGAGAGAGUCACCAUGGGAUGUGAAACCUGUUAAAACUUACUAAGGGCAUUAGACUGAAAUAAUUGCGAUAAAACCAUCCCACUUCAAUUGAAAGACUAUUUUUUCCUCUUAUUGCCAAAUUAAAUGAGUCUAUGAGACUGCCCAAGUCUAGAUUUUAGCCUACAUAGAUAGGAUGACUCACCUACAGCUUACCUCUAUGCAACGGAACUUGAUAGUCACUGGGAUGAAACUGAUGUGCAACAAAAAUAUUAAACUCCCAAGUCCCACACCGCAGAUUGACAUGACCAUUUAGGAUCCUAAAUGUCAUUGAAAAUUCUUUAUACUUGAGAUUUUAUUCUGGAAAACAGAAGUUAGAACCUAGCAGAGACUCUGCCAAAAUUGUCACACAAGCUUCAACUACCACUUUAUCUCACUUUUCAGAAUAGCACUUCUGAGUUGUACUAUGAAACAGGUUUUAUAUUUACACACUUAUCAAAAGGUUUUAUUCAGUAGCUACUGCUUCAUUUGGUUCAGCCACUGACCCCCAGGCCCAAUCACACUCUGCACCUCUUCAUAUAUAUAAACUACCUACAGAAAGCAAUAAAACCCAAACCCCCAGCACGUUCCCUCAAGGAAGGAUGUUCAGCCCUCUGGAGAAAAAAAAAAACCACCAAACCAACAAACGUGAACAUGUUACAAAAGACUAAAACACUUUUCUACCUUUGCCUAGAUUUUCCUACAUAUGGUAUAUAUUAAA